rnacentral:rRNA from 1 species
CGGAGGAUCCAAGCGUUAUCCGGAAUCAUUGGGUUAAAGGGUCCGUAGGCGGUUUAGUAAGUCAGUGGUGAAAGCCCAUCGCUCAACGGUGGAACGGCCAUUGAUACUGCUAAACUUGAAUUAUUAGGAAGUAACUAGAAUAUGUAGUGUAGCGGUGAAAUGCUUAGAGAUUACAUGGAAUACCAAUUGCGAAGGCAGGUUACUACUAAUGGAUUGACGCUGAUGGACGAAAGCGUGGGUAGCGAACAGGAUUAGAUACCCUGGUAGUCCACGCCGUAAACGAUGGAUACUAGCUGUUGGGGGCAACUUCAGUGGCUAAGCGAAAGUGAUAAGUAUCCCACCUGGGGAGUACGUUCGCAAGAAUG